rnacentral:rRNA from 1 species
UACGUAGGGUGCUAGCGUUGUCCGGAAUUAUUGGGCGUAAAGAGCUCGUAGGCGGUGUGUCACGUCGGCCGUGAAAACCUGCAGCUUAACUGUGGGCGUGCGGUCGAUACGGGCAUCACUGGAGUUCGGCAGGGGAGACUGGAAUUCCUGGUGUGAGCGGUGAAAUGCGCAGAUAUCAGGAGGAACACCGGUGGCGAAGGCGGGGU